rnacentral:rRNA from 1 species
CGUGGCUAAUCUGCCCUUAGGACGCGAACAACCCCGGGAAACUGGGGCUAAUUCUGGGAUAGGUGAAGAACUCUGGAAUGAGUCUUUGCCUAAAAGAGCUUACGUUAUGCUCGUAAGUUUCGCCUAAGGAUGAGGCCGCGACCGAUCAGGUUGUUGGUGAGGUAAUGGCUCACCAAGCCUUUUACCGGUGCGGGCCGUGAGAGCGGGAGCCCGGAGAUGGGCACUGAGACAAGGGCCCAGGCCCUACGGGGCGCAGCAGUCGCGAAAACUUUGCAAUACACGAAAGUGUGACAGGGCUAUCCCGAGUGCCAUCCGCUGAGGAAGGCUUUUACCCAGUCUAGAACGCUGGGGGAAUAAGGGGUGGGCAAGUCUGGUGUCAGCCGCCGCGGUAAUACCAGCUCUUCGAGUGGUGUGGAUGUUUAUUGGGCCUAAAGCAUCCGUAGCCUGGCUAGGUAAGUCCCUUGUUAAAUCCACCGAAUUAAUCGUUGGAUCGCGGGGGAUACUGCUUGGCUAGGGGACGAGAGAGGCAGACGGUAUUUUCGGGGUAGGGGUGAAAUCCUAUAAUCCCAGGAAGACCACCAGUGGCGAAGGCUGUCUGCUAGAACGCGCCCGACGGUGAGGGAUGAAAGCUGGGGGAGCGAACCGGAUUAGAUACCCGGGUAGUCCCAGCUGUAAACGAUGCAGACUAGGUGAUGGGUCGGCCUUGUGCCAACCCAGUGCCGCAGGGAAGCCGUUAAGUCUGCCGCCUGGGGAGUAC